rnacentral:rRNA from 1 species
CCCGACUGCUAUUUGGGUGAGGAUAAGCCAUGCGAGUCGAAUGGGAUACCUAAAUUUCCCAUGGCGAACUGCUCAAUAACACAUGAUCAACUUACCCUAUAGAGAAAAAUAACCUCGGGAAACUGAGGAUAAUGUUUCAUAGUUGAAAAGGCUUGGAAAAGUUUUUCGACCAAAGGGAUAAGAAAAAUGGUUUUUAUCCGCUAUAGGAUAGGAUCGUGGUCGAUUAUGGUCGUUGGUGAGGUAAUGGCUCACCAAGCCGAUAAUCGAUAGGGGCCGUGAGAGCGGGAGCCCCGAGAUGGGUACUGAGACAGCGACCCAGGCCUUACGAGGCGCAGCAGGCGCGGAACCUCCGCAAUACACGAAAGUGUGACGGGGUUACCCAAAGUGUUCAAUUUUGAACUGUGGUAGGUGAGUAAUGUUCCCUACUAGAAAGGAGAGAGCAAGGCUGGUGCCAGCCGCCGCGGUAAAACCAGCUCUUCAAGUGGUCGGGAUAAUUAUUGGGCUUAAAGUGUCCGUAGCCGGUUUAGUAAGUUCCUGGUAAAAUCGGGUAGCUUAACUAUCUGCAUGCUAGGAAUACUGCUAUACUAGAGGACGGGAGAGGUCUGAGGUACUACAGGGGUAGGGGUGAAAUCUUAUAAUCCUUGUAGGACCACCAGUGGCGAAGGCGUCAGACUGGAACGUGCCUGACGGUGAGGGACGAAAGCCAGGGGAGCGAACCGGAUUAGAUACCCGGGUAGUCCUGGCCGUAAACGAUGCAUACUAGGUGAUGGCAUGGCCAUGAGCCAUGUCAGUGCCGCAGGGAAGCCGUUAAGCGAGCCACCUGGGAAGUACGGUCGCAAGGCUGAAAC